rnacentral:tRNA from 1 species
CCUUCGAUAGCUCAGUUGGAAGAGCGUGAGACUGUAAUGGUUAACCGUGGUCAUCUCAAGGUCACUGGUUCGAUCCCGGUUCGAAGGA